rnacentral:rRNA from 1 species
UAAAGCGUGCGCAGGCGGUUAUAUAAGACAGAUGUGAAAUCCCCGGGCUCAACCUGGGAACUGCAUUUGUGACUGUAUAGCUGGAGUGCGGCAGAGGGGGAUGGAAUUCCGCGUGUAGCAGUGAAAUGCGUAGAUAUGCGGAGGAACACCGAUGGCGAAGGCAAUCCCCUGGGCCUGCACUGACGCUCAUGCACGAAAGCGUGGGGAGCAAACAGGAUUAGAUACCGAGU